rnacentral:lncRNA from 1 species
GGGAUCUGAGCCAUGUCUGUGACCUAAACCACAGGUCAUGACAAUGCCAGAUCCUUUAACCCACUGAGCGAGGCCAGGGAUCAAAUCCGCAUCCUCAUUGUUGCUGGUCGGGUUCAUUAUCACUGAGCCACAACAGGAACUACUAAAAAGUAGUCAUGUUUAUUUCAACCUAAACAUGUUUUUAAUAACUAAAUAAUUGAAUACAACUGAUGCAUUAAGAAGAGGUGCCACAUUUACAGUGGCUUCCAGUCCCCAUGUGACACAUGUUCCUGUGCCUUGGGCCAUGGGGAGACCAGUUUCUCUGCUGAGGGGGCAAGUGUGAAGUACAGCUAAGACUUUGGUUGGGAAAAUACAUGGGCUCUAUGAGGAAGGCAUGAAGAAAUUUCCUUGUCUCUGUGCCUCUGUCUUAUUUUCACAUUGUUUAUUCUACAGGCCUUUGCUGUGGUCUUUACUACAACUGUCAGGUCAUCAAAUACCUUUCAAAGAAAAAGGUAGGCCACUGUUCCUGCUAUUUUCCUAGUUAUCCCAGUAGGUCACAUGGAGAAAGAGAUUUGGGCUGAUGUGUUUUCCCAAAAUUCAGGUCUACCUGGGAAUAUGACCUUAUUUAAGACUAGGAUCUUGGCAGAUGUAUUUAAGAUGAGGUCAUAUAGGACUAGGGUGGACCCUAAAUCCAAUGACGGAUGUAUAAGAAAGCAGAUGUUACACAGAGAGACACACGGAAACAGAGACAGAGCCUCAAAGAAGAUGUGACAGGGAAUAAUGAGGACUGCUGGGAGCUACCAGAAGAAAGGAAAAGGCAAGGAAAGAGUCUUCCUGGAGCCUUCAGAGAAUAUGGCCCUGCUGAUAAUUUGAUUUGAAGUGGUUCAUCUUCAGGACUUUGAGAAAAUAUAUUUUUGCUGUCUUGCCACCUAGUUUGUGACAAUUUACUAAUUUGUUAUGGGCUCUGCUCUUUGCGGGUUAGUUUAACAGUGCUUUAAACCAAUCUUAAAGUUUUUCAGUGGGCUUCGGCAGAUGCUAUUGAAAAGCAUUAAGAUGCCCAAAUAAUCAAAACACUAAAAAAUGACAGACCAAUAUUUCAAAAAGUAGUGGUUACUUUUUAAUAUUUUAUUCAACAGACUACACAUAUUUGUAUCUCACAAUGGAUAUGUGUUUGUACAACUGUGCUUGGAAAUACCUUAACACUCCUAAACAGGAAGUUUGAAAGAAUGUUAGCUCCAGGUUAAAUAAUUUUCUGGCUGAGGGCCUCUAGCUCCAUUUCUCCCACCCACUAUGGACCUGUUAAAGAAUUUUCUCUCUAAGUCAAGGUCAGACUCAGGAUCCUAUCUCUUUUGUGCUCACCUGUAUCCUUAUUUUAACCAUGCUCCCAAGUGAGGCUGGAUUAAUAGAGGAAACUUGGCUACUAUUUCUAUGCACAGAGCUUGCUCGUUUUUCUGGUUCACCUUACAGAACUGGAACCUUAGUCGGCCGUUAGAGGUCAAGCCAGUGACCUUACAUAAGAUUAUUGUCAUUUUUUUUAGUGGCUCAGCUUCAUCAAACACCAAAAACUUGUUUGGGGGCCAAGAAAUGGCAGCAAUGUUUUCCCAGGAUGGAAAUGUGUUUUUAGCCCACAGCCAAAUGGGAACCUGCAUUAGCAGAUAAAGUACUAAUCAUUUCAACCCCAGGACAGCUGUUCUUGUCAAAGACAUAUUCCUAAAUAAACAGAGUUUGGUGGUGGUGUACUCAGAGAGUCCAUUCAUAUGAGAAAACCAAUCACAAGAGAUCAUUCAGGAAAAUUGGCAGUGUCUGGAGAAGGGAGCUCCAGGCCUCUGCCUACCUGCAAAGUGAAUCAUUUGUUAUCCCCUGAGAAGGUACAAUCUUCAGCUCAGGGCAGGGGUCAAUAGCAAUGCCGUGUGAUGGAGGCACACGUUUAUGGCUAUAUGCACUCUCUACUGGGUCUAUGAAUAAAAAGACAAAGCUACCUCAGCAUUAUCAUUCCCCUGACCUUCAGGAGUGGAGCCAUCCCAGCAGGGGAAAAAAAAAAAAACAGCAGGAGAAGAAAAGGGAAAAUUAAAAUGUUAAAAACUAUAUUAUAGCUCGUUUAUGACCUUAAAAAAAAAUUAGACUUGAGAAUAUUAGGCUGGAGUAGAUACAACAAAGUCUGACAGCUCUGUAAAGUCAUAGAUUUUUUUUUUUCCCUCCCCUCUGAGUGGCUUUCUACUAAAAUCUUAAACAAUAAGCAGCCCCUGCUUGCUGGCUGACAGCCAGAGAAAAUUCAGAAUUUUGAUCAGUGCUUAACUAUUGAACGAAAUUUGCCUUGAAUUUCAGAGCAUUCCUCACUCCUAUAAAGCAUUUGCAGGGUUUGUCAAAGAGUCAGUUCCUAUUAAUAAGAAAUGCAAAAUGCUGCAGAUUGAAAGUUGUGCAGUGGUGUUCUUUUCCCUUAAACUUCCAUGUUCGCUGGUUUGCUCAGUGAGUUCGGCAUGACAAGCAAACAUUUGAAGCCACCAGUGUUAUCAUAAGAAUACCUCAAGAAAAUCUGUGUUAGAAAUGAUGGCAAGUGUCAAUAUAUUCCAACUACCUAGAACAUUCAAAUUUAAAACCCAAAAUGCAAUUGUUGUUAUAGCCAUGUCCUGAAGCCUGACGAUGUACUGCUGCUGAGGAGAGGAUGGAUUUUAUUGUCCCUAAGAAAAGGAGUCCUUAGGUUUUCUAGGUGUCUUUAUCCAUGAUUAUAAACAAACAAGCAAACAAACAAAUCCACUCAGGAGCUUAUAGUAAUUAGCAGCCAUCUGCUCUCAACAAAAUGAUCUUUGUACUUGGUGGGGUGAGAGGGGUCAAUAUAAUUAAAAAAAUUUUUUUUCAGUUUCUUUGAUGUCUUCGAGUGAUCAAUGCUUGGCUCAUGUUGCUUACUUUAAUUCUCAGACAUUUUAUUAUCUCUCUUUACUAUCUAAAGAGUAUUUUAGGAGGGAACUGGUAUUUUUAAAUGUCCAUUUAAUUUCUUUUUUAUAGACUGGAUAAUCACAAACAAAUCUAUUUAACCUCUAGGCUUAAACUCAGGGUAAAAGUAAUUUUAAAAUAAUAUUUUUGGAUGAUGUUCUGACCACACAUAAGAAACACCAUCAAAGGUCAGUCAGAAUUAAUAUGGAGAUUAGCAAGUGUCAGAAGUUAUUUUGCACAAGCUGCAGAAUACGUUUGCAAUCUGAUUUUGUGGCAUAUCUAUUACAAAUGAGAAAGACCCUCAGUGGUUUUGCAGAAUCCCAUUUUCUUAAUAGGAAAUUGAUGAAUGACAGCAUCUGGCAAGAAGAAAAAAGCAUAUGGUCUAACUAACUGUUUCUAUAGAGGUUAAAAACAGUUUUGGAAUUUCUCUGGUUGCUGUUAUGAUUGACAGACCAUCAAAUAAAUCAUUCACUUUUCUUUCCCCCUCCAUCAGUCCCAUGUACUGACAAAGACACAGGGGGAAGUCGGCAGUGUGGUGCAUGAGAAAUUAGACAUGCAAUGCCCAUUAACAUAAAUGGAUUUUUUUGCACCUAAUUCCCUACACACCAUGCAAAAAUCUACCCGCAGGACAUGGAGUAUGCAUGUUUUCUUGUUCUUUCUAUUUAUAAUUUUUAAUUAUUAAUUUCAUAUAUAAUUGGUUUCUUUAGAGAAUGAAAUGCCUAGUAGGUUAUCUAAAACACUGUUUCAGAGUCUUGGGGCUUGAUGCUGCAAAAAGAUGGGCUGAUACUGAAGGAUGUUAUGUAUGUAAGACAAACAAUGAAAAUGAGGCUGAGAGGUCUUGAAUGAAGUUAGGCUAAUUAAACAAUUCUCAGUGUUUAAAUUCUUGCUCCCUUCUCCAGGGUAUACUGCCAAUCAUCUCAUCUUGGGGGAUUGCUCUGGUUUGCCCUCACCUCCAUGCCCGCUUCAUAAAUGUAACCCUCAAAUAAUUUAUCAAAUAGUUUCACUCUAAAAAAUGAGAGCUAUUUUGGUGUUUUCAACUCACUUAAUUUCCCUCUCUCUUUUCUUUUUUUCAAGUCAGUUUACAUACUCCUUAGAGAACAAUGAGUUCUGAAAGGAGGAAGCUUGUCUAGACUAUUCACAAUGUGUUCUAGAAAACUGCCCACCCCCUUUCCUCAUUUACUCAGUUUGGGGCCAGGUUUGUUUGUGUACCUCCAGGCACUUAUUGUCUCAUGACACAGCCUAUUCUGUCAAUGGACAGUUCCAUGAUGGGGACUGGCUUCCAAGGUGGCCCCCAGAGGUCCUCCCAUCCUGGCAGGUGAUUGCUGGCCUAGUAGUCUCCACCUCCUGACACUGAAUAGGGCUUAACUUAGUAACAAAUAGGAUAUUGUGGAUGAAAUAUAGUGAUGCAGAACCACUUCUGAGACUGCGUUCUCAAAGAUACUACAGUUUCUGACCUGCUAACUCUUGGAUGGAUAGUUUUUUGGGAACCCAGCUUCCAUGGUGUGAGGACCCUCAAACAGUUCUGAGCAGCAGCACCUGUGAAAAAACAAUGCAGGCUCCUGCCAACAACCAGUAGCCACUCCCUUGCCAGCCACUUUGAGGGGUUGGCCAUCCAGUCUUGGUUAAGCUCUCCAUUGAUUACAGCCUUGGUCAACAACUUGACUGCAAUUUUGUGAGAGUCCAAGCCACAGCUAUGCAGUUAAGCCAUGCCUGAUUCCCUGACCCACAGAAACUGUUGACAGCAAUUGUUUAUUAUUAUUUUAAGCCAUUAAAGCUUGAGAUUCAUUUUACACAGAAUAUGUAGAUGACUGACACAGACUGCAUUGUAGUCCUUUUGUUACUCCUUAGUCAUGCAUGGAAGACUUAGGAAAUCAAUGAAAUCUCCUUUUCACAUGAUAGCAAAUACCAGCUGAUAGUAAGUCUUUCUGUUUUUUGUAAUCCCCUCUGUCCCCUGGUCCCCUGGUCCUCUACUCUACUUUCUCAAUCGAGAUCUUUCUGGGUCAUCUGAGUUACAACCUUCUAGCCUUUAUUA